rnacentral:rRNA from 1 species
CCGGCGCACGGGUGAGUAACACGUAUGGAACCUGCCCUAUGCAGGGGGAUAAGCGGAAGAAAUUCCGUCUAAUACCGCAUAACACCUUUAGGAGACAUCUUCUUGGGGGUCAAAGGAGGCGACUCCGGCAUAGGAUGGCCAUGCGUCGCAUUAGCUAGUCGGCGGGGUAACGGCCCACCGAGGCGACGAUGCGUAGGGGUUCUGAGAGGAAGGUCCCCCACACUGGUACUGAGACACGGACCAGACUCCUACGGGAGGCAGCAG